UACGUAGGUGGCAAGCGUUAUCCGGAUUUAUUGGGCGUAAAGGGAACGCAGGCGGUCUUUUAAGUCUGAUGUGAAAGCCUUCGGCUUAACCGGAGUAGUGCAUUGGAAACUGGGAGACUUGAGUGCAGAAGAGGAGAGUGGAACUCCAUGCGUAGCGGUGAAAUGCGUAGAUAUAUGGAAGAACACCAGUGGCGAAAGCGGCUCUCUGGUCUGUAACUGACGUUGAGGUUCGAAAGCGUGGGUAGCAAACAGG
rnacentral:rRNA from 1 species